rnacentral:rRNA from 1 species
GACGAACGCUGGCGGCGUGCUUAACACAUGCAAGUCGAACGGAAAGGCCCUGCUUUUGUGGGGUGCUCGAGUGGCGAACGGGUGAGUAACACGUGAGUAACCUGCCCUUGACUUUGGGAUAACUUCAGGAAACUGGGGCUAAUACCGGAUAGGAGCUCCUGCUGCAUGGUGGGGGAUGGAAAGUUUCGGCGGUUGGGGAUGGACUCGCGGCUUAUGAGCUUGUUGGUGGGGUAGUCGCUUACCAAGGGUUAGACGGGUAGCCGGCCUGGGAGGGGGAACGGCGACAAUGCGACUGAGAGACGGCGCAGAAUCGUAUGGGACGCAGCAGUGGGGAAUAUGGCGCAACGGGCGGAAGCCUGUUGCGGCGACGCCGCGUGCGGGAUGACGGCUUUCGGGUUGUAAACCGCUGUCGCCUUUGACGAGGCGUGAGUGACGGUAAUGGGUAAAGAAGCACCGGCUAACUACGUG